rnacentral:rRNA from 1 species
GAUCAUGGCGUCAGGAUGAACGCUGGCGGCGUGCUUAACACAUGCAAGUCGAACGAUGAAGCCCAGCUUGCUGGGUGGAUUAGUGGCGAACGGGUGAGUAACACGUGAGUAACCUGCCCCUCACUCUGGGAUAAGCACUGGAAACGGUGUCUAAUACCGGAUACGAACUUCGGCCGCAUGGUCAGGAGUUGGAAAGAAUUUUGGUGGGGGAUGGACUCGCGGCCUAUCAGCUUGUUGGUGAGGUAAUGGCUCACCAAGGCGACGACGGGUAGCCGGCCUGAGAGGGUGACCGGCCACACUGGGACUGAGACACGGCCCAGACUCCUACGGGAGGCAGCAGUGGGGAAUAUUGCACAAUGGGCGCAAGCCUGAUUGCAGCAACGCCGCGUGAGGGAUGACGGCCUUCGGGUUGUAAACCUCUUUUAGUAGGGAAGAAGCGAAAGUGACGGUACCUGCAGAAAAAGCACCGGCUAACUACGUGCCAGCCGCUGC